CCUGCCCUUAGAAACAUUGCAUGUGUCCCUGCUGUGUCUCAAGUGCAUCAGUAGGUGACAGAGAAAAGGGAGCUCAUGCCUAAGCUAAGUGUUCUGACCAAUGAACAUCUGAAUGGUUAGUAGCUACUAAC